rnacentral:rRNA from 1 species
UACGUAGGGUGCAAGCGUUGUCCGGAAUUACUGGGCGUAAAGCGCGCGCAGGCGGCCCGCGGGGUGUCACGUGAAAGCCCCGGGCUCAACCCGGGAGGGUCGUGGCAAACCGGCGGGCUUGAGGCCGGUAGAGGUGGGUGGAACUCCUGGUGGAGUGGUGAAAUGCGUAGAGAUCAGGAAGAACACCCGUGGCGAAGGCGGCCCACUGGGCCGGUACUGACGCUGAGGCGCGAAGGCGUGGGGAGCGAACGGG